AAAAGACUAAACUCCAAGCAAAAAGAAGUUUUUACUCAUCGUUUUAGAGUAAUUAUAAAUCUGUAGCGAAACUAGUACGCCUGCUUGUAACCUGAGCCUGAUAAUCAUGACAAGGGUGUCCUUUGAAGGAUACUGUUUCCUAAUCGGAGCUGUGACCUUAUCACACUUACUGUAUCGGCGAGUGACUGUACCGCGCUUACCACACACAGCCGGUGUUACCACACCGAUACCGCGCUGAGCCAGCACAUUGAUUCCGUGCCGCGCCGAGGACACGCGUGACAAGCAAUUAUUAGUUACACCCUGGAACUCCGCGCUCGGCCUCGCCCGACCCGGCGGCGCAGGGCACGGACCCAUCCUACAGCCCAAACCCGCAGCCACAGCCCGAGCCGCAGCUGCGCUCCCCGAGCCCGGCUGCUCCCAUCCCGGGGCACCGGGACCUGCCGCCGCCGCUCCUCACCCUCCAGGCCAGGUCCAGGUGGAAGUCUCGGGCGCGCAGGAACCGCACCAGGAAGGCAUCGGAGAGGGGCUGCGGCCAGCGCUGGCCGGGCUCUGCCUCGGCCCGCCGCCGCAGCUCGGACACGGCGCCGCGCACCCGCGGAGAGUUGUCGGGCAGGUCAUUGAGGUGCCCUGCAGCCAGCGGAGCCUGCGACAUCCCCGCGGUACGUCCGAGCUCAGCCCCGCCGCCGGCCCCGGCCCAUUGAGGGGAGCGCGGCGGCGGCGGCGGGGCCCAGCCCGGCCCGGCUGCUCCCGCCCCCGCCCCCGCGGGGCUUAACCCCUGAGCGCCCUGCCGGGCCCCGGCUGAGGGAGCGGCAGGUGCGCCGCCUCCCCUGCCCUGCCCCUCCCGGGCUUGUCUUUUCCACUUUUACGGACUUGACCGGUUUUUAGCAUUUUACGCUUUAAGCCCAUCUCCUGUUUUUCUCUUCCAGCCCCAAAAGUGAGCCGGACCUGCUCCCUCUGGAGGGCGAGGGGCGGCCCCACGGGGCAGGGAGAGCCCCGCCGCAGGAGGGUCAUCCCGGACCCCUGGAACGUGCUGAGGGUCGUGGCUUCCCCUUUUAAUUUUUUUUUUUGCAAAAAUAAUCCAUCUUUAGAUACUAAAUCGUAAAAUGCUGCAACUUCAUUGCAGCUAGGAAAUGAAGUGUAAAGUGGGGAUCCCUGCUGGUGCAAAACUGCCUUGGAGCACCUCAUCCUUAACGUUAAUAUGCAGUAAUGAAAAUAUAUUCACUCUGCCAGGAGAAAGGGUGGUGAAAUUGAAUUCAACCUUAGUCUAACUUUGCUGCCCAGCAGUGAGUUUGAUUUUGAAAGGUAAAGAGUUCAUUGCUGUUAUUGUAUUUUGUAUUUUUAGUAGCACCUUUUCCUUGUAUUAGGUUUCCUUUGAGAUCUCUCUGGCCUACUUAUGCUAAAAGCCUUAUUUCAUCUAAUAUACAAUUAAGAAGGCAUGCUUAGGUCUAGUAAAAGGUUUACAAAGCUUUGUUCCAUAUUACUUUCCCCUUUUCUGGAUUUCUACAGUUAAUACUUACUUUUUGAUCAGCAUUUUGUUAAUAUCUAACCAUGUCUUGGACUCUUAUACACUACUGAAAUGUCUACAGGUAUCCCCCUCAGCUUUCCAAAUGUGAAAAAACAUCUGCCUAGCUAAAAGCAGUUAGGUAAAGAGUGGGAGGGUGGUUUUUUUUGCUGCCCCCUCUCCCCCCCCCAAAAAAAAAAGGAAAAAAAAAAGGCAGAAACUCAAGGGACUGAAUAGAGAAUACAAGCUUGCAGGGAGAAAGUAUUGGAGGAAAGGAUAAAAACUGGGAAAGGGGUGUGCAGUCAAGAGUAUUUAGAUGUGGAUUUCUGGGCAAGGAGGUGUGAGGAAGUGUGGGCUUACCCUGCAAGAAGAAGAAGAAAAAGCAAGCUGGAAAUACAGCAAGAAACAGAGAGAACAGAAUAUGGAGGAGACACUAACAACAAGUUUUAAAAAAACCACUCCUUUUGUUUCUGGGCAGAGCUUCCAUGGGAAAGAUUUGCAUGCAAAUGUGUAACCCAACCAUGGGUGGUCAGAGUCAAACAAAGCUAAAUCACAGAAAGUUCAUGCAGUGAUUUUAAACACUACUUCAUAAUUUUUGAGCACUUAUUUUGCCUUCGCAGAAUUCUCCCAACUUAGUGCUUCAUCUGUGAAAACAAAAAGAGCAAGAGAAUACAGAUACUUUUCAUUAGACUGAUCAGCUGAGCAACUCAUAGCUUCUAACUCGCUUUUCUACAAAAUUCAUAUUGUGAUUUUGGCUUCAUAUAUAAACAAAGUGAGUUAUACAAGCAGUUUCAAUGAUUUCCUUCAGGACUCAGUUACAAAAAUAUCUGUAAAUUUGAGGGUUUUGUUGAAAAUUCUUCAAAUGAGGCUGCAUUAUAAGACUAAUGAGAACUCCUCUCUCUGACAAUGAAGAUGUGAUAUCAUCAAGGCUUCCUUCAGAGGAGCCAGCAUGUUGUAUACUUGACCCUUCACAAGAGCAAUUAAGACCCGUUGCAAGAUGAAGCUUGGAAAUCCUGUUUACUUUGACCCUUGCCUGCCAAGUGAAACAACAUUUGAGUCCUUCAGUGAGAUAUAAACUUCAAUCCAGUGCAUGAAGGUAGCCAGAGGACAGACCUGUCCCCAGGCAAUGAAAUAAGUCUUCCCUGUGAUGUCCUUUCAGCUGUCUGGGCAAGAGAACCUGGCAUCGUGUCAGUGAAAUUCAAUAAAAGGCAUGAGCAUGGAAGGACUUGAAAGGUAGUUCUGUGCUGUGGUUAAUCUGAAAAGAUACCUGUGAUUCUAAAAAAAAGCAUGCAAAAAGAUCACCCCAGAAAAUGUUUCUAAAACACCAACAUCACCCAGUUAUGUAGAUUUACACUGAAAAGGUAAAUCAUCAGAGUAUGCUCCUUCUUCACCUUGAUUUGAAAAUGGUCUAUCCUGAGACUGGCACAGGGAGUAGCUCCCUUCCUACUCUGAGGACCCACAGAACCAGGGGCUUCUUUCUUGGCUCUCUGCUGAGAUGACAAACUACUGUUCUGGCCCUGACUAUGCAGCAGACUCACGUGGUCAUGAACAAGGAUUUUAUCAGCCCCCUCAGAAGAAAAUGAAACAGAAGCAGUAAAAUAAGAGCUAAGUUGUUAAAACUCACCACAAACUUAGUGAAUAAAUAAGCUAAAUAAAGAAUAAAAUCUAC